rnacentral:tRNA from 1 species
GUGGGUAUAGCUCAGUUGGGAGAGUGUUGGACUGAAGAUUUGAUGGUUAUGUGUUCAAUCCAUAUUUUCACU